rnacentral:rRNA from 1 species
UACGUAGGGUGCAAGCGUUGUCCGGAAUUAUUGGGCGUAAAGAGCUCGUAGGCGGUUUGUCGCGUCUGCUGUGAAAACGCGGGGCUCAACCUCGCGCCUGCAGUGGGUACGGGCAGACUAGAGUGCGGUAGGGGAGAUUGGAAUUCCUGGUGUAGCGGUGGAAUGCGCAGAUAUCAGGAGGAACACCGAUGGCGAAGGCAGAUCUCUGGGCCGUAACUGACGCUGAGGAGCGAAAGCGUGGGGAGCGAACAGG